UAAUACAUGCAAGUCGAGCGGAUUGAUGGGAGCUUGCUCCAUGAUAUCAGCGGCGGACGGGUGAGUAACACGUGGGUAACCUGCUUGUAAGACUGGGAUAANUCCGGGAAACCGGGGCUAAUACCGGAUAACUCAUUUCCUCGCAUGAGGAAAUGUUGAAAGGUGGCUUUUAGCUACCACUUACAGAUGGACCCGCGGCGCAUUAGCUAGUUGGUGAGGUAACGGCUCACCAAGGCGACGAUGCGUAGCCGACCUGAGAGGGUGAUCGGCCACACUGGGACUGAGACACGGCCCAGACUCCUACGGGAGGCAGCAGUAGGGAAUCUUCCGCAAUGGACGAAAGUCUGACGGAGCAACGCCGCGUGAGUGAUGAAGGUUUUCGGAUCGUAAAGCUCUGUUGUUAGGGAAGAACAAGUGCCGUUCGAAUAGGGCGGCACCUUGACGGUACCUAACCAGAAAGCCACGGCUAACUACGUGCCAGCAGCCGCGGUAAUAC
rnacentral:rRNA from 1 species